rnacentral:misc_RNA from 1 species
AAGUCGUAACAAGGUUUCCGUAGGUGAACCUGCGGAAGGAUCAUUAUCGAGUUCUGAACGGGUUGUAGCUGGCCUUUCACAAGGCAUGUGCACGCCUGGCUCAUCCACUCUUUAACCCCUGUGCACUUUUCAUGGAUCAGAAGGAAGGCUGAGGAUCUAUUCUCAGUUUGAUUUCUGCUCUGUGUAAUUUUUCUACCAACCCUGUUCAAUGAAUGUCUACUUGCGGAUAACGCAAACAAUAAAAUAACUUUCAGCAACGGAUCUCUUGGCUCUC